UACGUAGGGCGCGAGCGUUAAUCGGAAUUACUGGGCGUAAAGCGUGCGCAGGCGGUUUUGCAAGCCGGAUGUGAAAUCCCCGGGCUUAACCUGGGAAUGGCAUUUGGGACUGCAAGGCUGGAGUGCGGCAGAGGAGACUGGAAUUCCUGGUGUAGCAGUGAAAUGCGUAGAUAUCAGGAGGAACACCGAUGGCGAAGGCAGGUCUCUGGGCUGACACUGACGCUCAUGCACGAAAGCGUGGGGAGCAAACAGG
rnacentral:rRNA from 1 species